CCUACGGGAGGCAGCAGUGGGGAAUAUUGCACAAUGGGGGGAACCCUGAUGCAGCAACGCCGCGUGGGUGAAGAAGUACUUCGGUAUGUAAAGCCCUGUCAGCCGGGAAGAAAAUGACGGUACCUGACCAAGAAGCCCCGGCUAACUACGUGCCAGCAGCCGCGGUAAUACGUAGGGGGCAAGCGUUAUCCGGAGUUACUGGGGGUAAAGGGAGCGUAGACGGGAAGGCAAGUGUGGAGUGAAAGCCCGUGGGUGAACCACGGGACUGCUUUGGAAACUGGGUUGCUGGAGUGCAGGAGGGGUAAGCGGAAUGCCUGGUGUAGCGGUGAAAUGCGUAGAUAUUAGGAGGAACACCGAUGGCGAAGGCAGCUUACUGGACUGUAACUGACGUUGAGGCUCGAAGGCGUGGGGAGCGAACAGGAUUAGAUACCCUAGUAGUC
rnacentral:rRNA from 1 species